AUUGAACGCUGGCGGCAGGCUUAACACAUGCAAGUCGAGCGGAGAGAGGUAGCUUGCUACUGAUCUUAGCGGCGGACGGGUGAGUAAUGCUUAGGAAUCUGCCUAUUAGUGGGGGACAACAUUUCGAAAGGAAUGCUAAUACCGCAUACGUCCUACGGGAGAAAGCAGGGGAUCUUCGGACCUUGCGCUAAUAGAUGAGCCUAAGUCGGAUUAGCUAGUUGGUGGGGUAAAGGCCUACCAAGGCGACGAUCUGUAGCGGGUCGGAGAGGAUGGCCGGCAACACUGGGAGUGAAAAACGGCCAGGCCCCCUACGGGAGGCAGCAGGGGUGAAUAUUGGAAAUUGGGCGGAGGCUUUAUCAAGCCUGCCCUCGUGGUGGAAGAAGGCUUUAUGGUUUAAAAGAAUUUUAAGCGAGGAGGAGGCUACUUUAGUUAAUCCCUAGAGUUAGGGGACGUUACUCGCAGAAUAAGCACCGGCUAACUCUGUGCAAGCAGCCGCCGUAA
rnacentral:rRNA from 1 species